GCGGCGGACGGGUGAGUAACGCGUGGGUAACCUACCCCAAAGUCCGGGAUAACAGCGGGAAACCGCUGCUAAUACCGGAUGUCUUUACCUUGGGGCAUCUUGAGGUAAAGAAAGGUAACGCUUUGGGAUGGGCCCGCGUCCCAUUAGCUAGUUGGUGAGGUAACGGCUCACCAAGGCGACGGUGGGAAGCCGGCCUGAGAGGGUGGACGGCCACACUGGGACUGAGACACGGCCCAAACUCCUACGGGAGGCAGCAGGAGGGAAUAUUGCGCAAUGGACGGAAGUCUGACGCAGCGACGCCGCGUGAGCGAUGAAGGUCUUCGGAUCGUAAAGCUCUGUCCUUGGGGAAGAAGGCGAAAGCUUGACGGUACCCAAGAAGAAAGCCCCGGCUAACUACGUGCCAGCGGCCGCGGUAAUACGUAGGGGGCGAGCGUUGUCCGGAAUUACUGGGCGUAAAGGGUGCGUAGGCGGUCCUUUAAGUCGGAUGUGGAAGCCCGCG
rnacentral:rRNA from 1 species